AAAAUCCGCACCUCAUGUGCCUGAGACCUGACACGGACCCGUAAGGGGAAGUCGGUGAUCCUAUGCUGCCAAGAAAAUCUUCUAGCGAGGUUCUAGCCGCCCGUACCCCAAACCGACUCAGGUGGUUAGGUAGAGAAUACCAAGGCGAUCGAGUGAAUCGUGGUUAAGGAAUUCGGCAAAAUACCCCCGUAACUUCGGGAGAAGGGGGGCCCAGAGGGUGACGGGACUUGCUCCCCGAGCCUGGACGGCCGCAGAGACCAGGGAGAAGCGACUGUUUACUAAAAACACAGGUCCGUGCCAAGUCGCAAGACGAUGUAUACGGACUGACGCCUGCCCGGUGCUGGAACGUUAAGGGGACCGGUUAGCCUCACGGCGAAGCUGAGAACUUAAGCGCCAGUAAACGGCGGUGGUAACUAUAACCAUCCUAAGGUAGCGAAAUUCCUUGUCGGGUAAGUUCCGACCUGCACGAAUGGCGUUACGACUUCUCCACUGUCUCAACCACGAACUCGGCGAAAUUGCACUACGAGUAAAGAUCUCGUUACGCGCAGAAGGACGGAAAGACCCCGGGACCUUACUACAGCUUGGUAUUGGUGUUCGGUACGGCUUGUGUAGGAUAGGUGGGAGACUGUGAAGCUGACACGCCAGUGUCGGUGGAGUCAACGUUGAAAUACCACUCUGGUCGUUCUGGAUAUAUAACCUAGGUCCGUAAUCCGGAUCAGGGACAGUGCCUGGUGGGUAGUUUAACUGGGGCGGUUGCCUCCUAAAAGGUAACGGAGGCGCCCAAAGGUUCCCUCAGCCUGGUUGGCAAUCAGGUUUCGAGUGUAAGUGCACAAGGGAGCUUGACUGUGAGACUGACAAGUCGAACAGGGACGAAAGUCGGGACUAGUGAUCCGGCGGUGGCUUGUGGGAGCGCCGUCGCUCAACGGAUAAAAGGUACCCCGGGGAUAACAGGCUGAUCUUGCCCAAGAGUCCAUAUCGACGGCAUGGUUUGGCACCUCGAUGUCGGCUCGUCGCAUCCUGGGGCUGGAGUAGGUCCCAAGGGUUGGGCUGUUCGCCCAUUAAAGCGGUACGCGAGCUGGGUUUAGAACGUCGUGAGGCAGUUCGGUCCCUAUCCUCUGCGCGCGCAGGAAACUUGAGAAGGGCUGUCCCUAGUACGAGAGGACCUGGAUGGACGAACCUCUGGUGUGUCAGUUGUUCUGCCAAGAGCACCGCUGAUUAGCUACGUUCGGGAGUGAUAACCGCUGAAAGCAUCUAAGGGGAAGCAU
rnacentral:rRNA from 1 species